GUGUAGCUCAGUGGCAGAGUGCUUGCCUAGCAUGCAUGAGGCACUGGGUUCCAUCCUCAGCAC
rnacentral:tRNA from 1 species